rnacentral:rRNA from 1 species
AUGCGGGCGAGCUGCAACGGCUGCCGGGUGCUGCGCAAGGGCUGCGCCGACGACUGCACCAUCCGCCCCUGCCUGGCCUGGAUCCGGAGCCCCGACGCGCAGGCCAACGCCACCGUCUUCCUCGCCAAGUUCUACGGCCGCGCGGGGCUCAUCAACCUCCUCGCCGCCGCCCCGGACGACGCCCACCGCCCGGCGCUCUUCCGCUCGCUGCUCUACGAGGCGUGCGGCCGGGCGGCCAACCCCGUCUACGGCGCCUCCGGGCUCUUCUCCACGGGCAACUGGGAGGCCUGCCAGGCCGCCGUCCAGGCCGUGCUCGAGGGCCGCCGCAUCCCCCAGGUCGGCGCCGACCAGGCCGCCCCGCACCCCGGCCUCGUCGCGGCCUACGGCGUCCGCUAUAUCCCCAAGGACGGCAUCGACCGUGCGUCCGCCGCGCUCCGUGUCUCGCCCGCUGGCCGCGCCAGCUUCAAGCGCGCGGCCUCCUCCUGUUCGGCGGCCAGGUCCAAGCGCGACGGUGGCCACGAGGGGGAGUCCGACGGCAGCCACGACCACGUUGUUGAAGACGACGGCAAGGCGCUGGCAGACAAGCACAAGAGGAGGGAGUCGUCGUCGUCGGAGGCCGAGGCGGGCUCGCACGUGAGCCAGGCAGAGCAGAGCGCGAGCGCCACUGUGCCGCAGGAGGCACAGGAGGACGGCGAAAUUGGGCUGGAGCUCACCCUCGGCUUCGGGCCGGCCACGCGCGUGAUGAGGUCGCCGCCGGCGCGCUUCGAGGCCCGCACCUUGAGCACCGAGUCCGGCCACAUCGGCCUGCUGCUUGGGCUGCCGGUGUGA